GACUCUAGCUGGGAAACUGGCCAGAGCCGUCGAGAUCUUUCUUCUUCGGGGAUGCUCCUGAACAGCUGGUGAUCUCCAUCCUCGUGUGAAUUCCAAGAAACGCACACCAGAGGAUCUCACUUCAUAGCAUCCGUGGUAGAAGUGAACUCCCCACCUGUUGCACACAGAGAUCAGAGGAAAUCCCUGGAGGAAUAACCGGCCAAAGUACCCAGAUCCACCAUAAUCUUAUUCUUUAUUUUUCUUGCUAAUUUUAGUUUUUUCUGGAGGAUAUUUCUUAGAAAAACCAUUUAUUUUUUACAGCUCAGCCUGAUUGAGGAAUAACAAGAUUACCUGCAUGGUGGAGUCUCGCAUAAUAAACUAAAUCAUCCCAUCACAUAGAACGUUUGCCCCGGUUUCUUUUUUACCUCUUCCGUUCUUUUUCUGAUCUUGUUGCUGUUCUUGAGCAUGAAUUCUUAAUUUGAUUUGUUUUUGCUUCUAAAAUUUCAUCAUGACACGACCCUGAAUGAAGUGGCGUGUUCUCAUAGUCCCAAUUCUGAAAAUAAUAAAAUUAAGCAAUACCCAUCUGAGUUGGGGGUAUGAUUCUCCAGCAACUAACAUAGAUAGCUCCAUGAAAAAAAAUCUGCCUACCAUUCAAUGCUUCUUCUAGAAGAAUUAAAAAAAACGAAAGAAAGAAAAAACGGGCCUUCGAUUUGCAAUUUGCAAUAACAUUUUCUAAAAUAAAGUAAGAAAGAGAGAUGAGACCCUGCAGGAAUCUACGUGGGAGGGAACAAGGUGGUGCACUUCACCUACAACAAGCCCCUG
rnacentral:lncRNA from 1 species